AGUGGCGGACGGGUGAGUACGCGUAGGAACAUGUCCAGUGGUGGGGGAUAACGUUGGGAAACUGACGCUAAUACCGCAUGAGCCCUGAGGGGGAAAGCGGCGAUGCGCCGAUGGAGUGGCCUGCGUAGGAUUAGCUUGUUGGUGGGGUAAUGGCCUACCAAGGCUACGAUCCUUAGCUGGUCUGAGAGGACGAUCAGCCACAUUGGGACUGAGACACGGUCCAAACUCAUACGGGAGGCAGCAGUGGGGAAUAUUGGACAAUGGGGGCAACCCUGAUCCAGCAAUGCCGCGUGUGUGAAGAAGGUCUUCGGAUUGUAAAGCACUUUCGACGGGGACGAUGAUGACGGUACCCGUAGAAGAAGCCCCGGCUAACUUCGUGCCAGCAGCCGCGGUAAUACGAAGGGGGCUAGCGUUGCUCGGAAUGACUGGGCGUAAAGGGCGCGUAGGCGGCGGCGUAAGUCAGAUGUGAAAUUCCUGGGCUUAACCUGGGGGCUGCAUUUGAGACUGCGAUGCUAGAGGAUGGAAGAGGCUCGUGGAAUUCCCAGUGUAGAGGUG
rnacentral:rRNA from 1 species